rfam:Klebsiella pneumoniae ISC21, WGS project CBWQ01000000 data, contig: rep_c975
AAAAAGAACCUGAAACCGUGUACGUACAAGCAGUGGGAGCACCUUCGGGUGUGACUGCGUACCUUUUGUAUAAUGGGUCAGCGACUUAUAUUCUGUAGCAAGGUUAACCGUAUAGGGGAGCCGCAGGGAAACCGAGUCUUAACUGGGCGUUAAGUUGCAGGGUAUAGACCCGAAACCCGGUGAUCUAGCCAUGGGCAGGUUGAAGGUUGGGUAACACUAACUGGAGGACCGAACCGACUAAUGUUGAAAAAUUAGCGGAUGACUUGUGGCUGGGGGUGAAAGGCCAAUCAAACCGGGAGAUAGCUGGUUCUCCCCGAAAGCUAUUUAGGUAGCGCCUCGUGAACUCAUCUUCGGGGGUAGAGCACUGUUUCGGCUAGGGGGUCAUCCCGACUUACCAACCCGAUGCAAACUACGAAUACCGAAGAAUGUUAUCACGGGAGACACACGGCGGGUGCUAACGUCCGUCGUGAAGAGGGAAACAACCCAGACCGCCAGCUAAGGUCCCAAAGUCAUGGUUAAGUGGGAAACGAUGUGGGAAGGCACAGACAGCCAGGAUGUUGGCUUAGAAGCAGCCAUCAUUUAAAGAAAGCGUAAUAGCUCACUGGUCGAGUCGGCCUGCGCGGAAGAUGUAACGGGGCUAAACCAUGCACCGAAGCUGCGGCAGCGACACUAUGUGUUGUUGGGUAGGGGAGCGUUCUGUAAGCCUGCGAAGGUGUGCUGUGAGGCAUGCUGGAGGUAUCAGAAGUGCGAAUGCUGACAUAAGUAACGAUAAAGCGGGUGAAAAGCCCGCUCGCCGGAAGACCAAGGGUUCCUGUCCAACGUUAAUCGGGGCAGGGUGAGUCGACCCCUAAGGCGAGGCCGAAAGGCGUAGUCGAUGGGAAACAGGUUAAUAUUCCUGUACUUGGUGUUACUGCGAAGGGGGGACGGAGAAGGCUAUGUUAGCCGGGCGACGGUUGUCCCGGUUUAAGCAUGUAGGCUGGUUGUCCAGGCAAAUCCGGAUAAUCAAGGCUGAGGUGUGAUGACGAGGCACUACGGUGCUGAAGUAACAAAUGCCCUGCUUCCAGGAAAAGCCUCUAAGCAUCAGGUAACAUUAAAUCGUACCCCAAACCGACACAGGUGGUCAGGUAGAGAAUACCAAGGCGCUUGAGAGAACUCGGGUGAAGGAACUAGGCAAAAUGGUGCCGUAACUUCGGGAGAAGGCACGCUGGUGUGUAGGUGAAGCCCCUGCGGGUGGAGCUGAGACCAGUCGAAGAUACCAGCUGGCUGCAACUGUUUAUUAAAAACACAGCACUGUGCAAACACGAAAGUGGACGUAUACGGUGUGACGCCUGCCCGGUGCCGGAAGGUUAAUUGAUGGGGUUAUCCGUAAGGAGAAGCUCUUGAUCGAAGCCCCGGUAAACGGCGGCCGUAACUAUAACGGUCCUAAGGUAGCGAAAUUCCUUGUCGGGUAAGUUCCGACCUGCACGAAUGGCGUAAUGAUGGCCAGGCUGUCUCCACCCGAGACUCAGUGAAAUUGAACUCGCUGUGAAGAUGCAGUGUACCCGCGGCAAGACGGAAAGACCCCGUGAACCUUUACUAUAGCUUGACACUGAACAUUGAGCCUUGAUGUGUAGGAUAGGUGGGAGGCUUUGAAGCGUGGACGCCAGUCUGCGUGGAGCCAACCUUGAAAUACCACCCUUUAAUGUUUGAUGUUCUAACGUUGGCCCCUGACCGGGGUUGCGGACAGUGUCUGGUGGGUAGUUUGACUGGGGCGGUCUCCUCCCAAAGCGUAACGGAGGAGCACGAAGGUUAGCUAAUCCUGGUCGGACAUCAGGAGGUUAGUGCAAUGGCAUAAGCUAGCUUGACUGCGAGCGUGACGGCGCGAGCAGGUGCGAAAGCAGGUCAUAGUGAUCCGGUGGUUCUGAAUGGAAGGGCCAUCGCUCAACGGAUAAAAGGUACUCCGGGGAUAACAGGCUGAUACCGCCCAAGAGUUCAUAUCGACGGCGGUGUUUGGCACCUCGAUGUCGGCUCAUCACAUCCUGGGGCUGAAGUAGGUCCCAAGGGUAUGGCUGUUCGCCAUUUAAAGUGGUACGCGAGCUGGGUUUAGAACGUCGUGAGACAGUUCGGUCCCUAUCUGCCGUGGGCGCUGGAGAAUUGAGGGGGGCUGCUCCUAGUACGAGAGGACCGGAGUGGACGCAUCACUGGUGUUCGGGUUGUCAUGCCAAUGGCACUGCCCGGUAGCUAAAUGCGGAAGAGAUAAGUGCUGAAAGCAUCUAAGCACGAAACUUGCCCCGAGAUGAGUUCUCCCUGAGACUUUAAGUCUCCUGAAGGAACGUUGAAGACGACGACGUUGAUAGGCCGGGUGUGUAAGCGCAGCGAUGCGUUGAGCUAACCGGUACUAAUGAACCGUGAGGCUUAACCUU